AACGAACGUUAGCGGCGCGCCUAACACAUGCAAGUCGAACGCGACAGGGGCAACUCUGUUGAGUGGCGCACGGGUGAGUAACACGUAGGUAAUCUCCCCCCGAGUGGUGGAUAACCUUCCGAAAGGAGGGCUAAUACGGCAUAAGACCACGGCUUCGAAAGGAGCUGAGGUCAAAGCGGAGGAUCGCAAGACUUCGCGCUUGGGGAUGAGCCUGCGGCCCAUCAGGUAGUUGGCGGGGUAACAGCCCACCAAGCCUAAGACGGGUAGCUGGUCGGAGAGGAUGAGCAGACACACUGGAACUGAGACACGGUCCAGACUCCUACGGGAGGCAGCAGUGGGGAAUCUUGCGCAAUGGACGAAAGUCUGACGCAGCGGCGCCGCGUGGGUGAUGAAGGCCUUCGGGUUGUAAAGCCCUGUGGGGAGGGACGAAUAAGUUUCAGCUAAUACCUGAAGCGAUGACGGUACCUCCUUAGCAAGCACCGGCUAACUCUGUGCCAGCCGCCGCCGUAA
rnacentral:rRNA from 1 species